rnacentral:rRNA from 1 species
UACGUAGGGACCAAGCGUUGUUCGGAUUUACUGGGCGUAAAGGGCGCGUAGGCGGCCUAGCAAGUCACUUGUGAAAUCUCCGGGCUUAACUCGGAACUGCCAAGUGAAAACUGCCAGGCUAGAGUGCAGAAGGGGCAAUCGGAAUUCUUGGUGUAGCGGUGAAAUGCGUAGAUAUCAAGAGGAACACCUGAGGUGAAGACGGGUUGCUGGGCUGACACUGACGCUGAGGCGCGAAAGCUAGGGGAGCAAACAGG